GCGAUGGUGGUGUAGUUGGUUAUCACGUCAGUCUAACAAGCUGCUGCAAGAAAUUGCUCUUGUUAGUUCACUGAAGGUCCUGGGUUCAAGUCCCGGCCGUCGUA
rfam:Macrophomina phaseolina MS6 contig00456, whole genome shotgun sequence.